rnacentral:rRNA from 1 species
UACAGAGGGGGCAAGCGUUGUUCGGAAUUACUGGGCGUAAAGUGUGCGCAGGCGGCCGAGCAAGUCGAGUGUGAAAGCCCCGAGCUUAACUUGGGAAUUGCGCUCGAAACUACUUGGCUGGAGUGUGGCAGAGGAAGGUGGAAUUCCAGGUGUAGCGGUGAAAUGCGUAGAGAUCUGGAGGAACACCGAUGGCGAAGGCAGCCUUCUGGGCCAACACUGACGCUCAUGCACGAAAGCGUGGGGAGCAAACAGG